AUUGAACGCUGGCGGCAGGCCUAACACAUGCAAGUCGAACGGUAACAGGAAGCAGCUUGCUGCUUCGCUGACGAGUGGCGGACGGGUGAGUAAUGUCUGGGAAGCUGCCUGAUGGAGGGGGAUAACUACUGGAAACGGUAGCUAGUACCGCAUAAUGUCGCAAGACCAAAGAGGGGGACCUUCGGGCCUCUUGCCAUCGGAUGUGCCCAGAUGGGAUUAGCUUGUUGGUGGGGUAACGGCUCACCAAGGCGACGAUCCCUAGCUGGUCUGAGAGGAUGACCAGCCACACUGGAACUGAGACACGGUCCAGACUCCUACGGGAGGCAGCAGUGGGGAAUAUUGCACAAUGGGCGCAAGCCUGAUGCAGCCAUGCCGCGUGUAUGAAGAAGGCCUUCGGGUUGUAAAGUACUUUCAGCGGGGAGGAAGGGAGUAAAGUUAAUACCUUUGCUCAUUGACGUUACCCGCAGAAGAAGCACCGGCUAACUCCGUG
rnacentral:rRNA from 1 species